rnacentral:rRNA from 1 species
GACGAACGCUGGCGGCGUGCUUAACACAUGCAAGUCGAGCGGUAAGGCCCUUUCGGGGGUACACGAGCGGCGAGCGGGUGAGUAACACGUGGGUGACCUGCCCUCAGCUCUGGGAUAAGCCUGGGAAACCGGGUCUAAUACCGGAUAUGACUCCAUGACGCAUGUUGUGGGGUGGAAAGCCUUGUGCGGCUGAGGAUGGGCCCGCGGCCUAUCAGCUUGUUGGUGGGGNGAUGGCCUACCAAGGCGACGACGGGUAGCCGGCCUGAGAGGGCGACCGGCCACACUGGGACUGAGACACGGCCCAGACUCCUACGGGAGGCAGCAGUGGGGAAUCUUGCGCAAUGGGCGAAAGCCUGACGCAGCGACGCCGCGUGGGUGAUGAAGGCCUCGGUCGUAACCC